CUGCUCUGGCAGCAUAUAUACUAAAAUUGGAGCAAUACAGAGAAUAUUAGCAUGAUUCCUGCUCAAGGAUGAUGCACCCUUGCAUGUGGCUGACCCAUCUUCA